GCUCAGUGGUGAUAUAAAAUACUCGCUUAUCGAAACAAACAAUAAGCUUUUGUUGGAACUUGAUGUAUUUAGAAUAGCUGCUUGUCUUUUCCAUUUGCUUUGCUUCGGAAUAGUCUAUUAUUUGAUAUGGAGAAGAAUGUUGUCAGAGUAUAAUCGGAUAUAUAGUAAAAGUGCAUCAUCUUUUUGAAUUUAAACAUGACAAACGUAAAAAUUAGACUAGCAAGAAGUGGAACAUACGUUCUUUGGGAUUGUUCUCGAAGCUUUCUAUCUUAAUUGGCGAACUCUAUAUUUUUUAUUAGGAUAAUAUGAUAGAUUUACGAUUUAAAAAAUGCUAUAACAAAGCCUAUAAGUGUCAUAAUUUUUUUAAUUAAGUGUAUUAUAAAAAUACAUUGACCAUGUAGGUAAAGAGAGAUGGUAAAUAAAGAAACAAACUAUUGGAAAGUCUCUAUUUUCAUAAUCAAUAAAACAAUGUUUAAAUAUAAUCAAAUUCGAAUCUAUUAUUCUCGAUAUCUAUCCCUUUUUUUUGAAAAAAUAUUUAGGUUCCUUACAAUUCUUAAUUAGAAAAAAUGUUUUUUUUUCCAAAUCAUUGACAAAAGACAACGACGAAGAUAAAAUGAAUUAUAAAGUAUUGAACAUUGAAUUGGCUAUCUGUAAUCUGAAUCAAAAUAUCGGAAAACAUCCAGUUAAAUUCCAUACAGAUAGUUCUAGAAUGUUUGAAUAGGGGUGUCAAAAGUUUUGCUUCCACCGGGAUGAAAUCGUGUAGGCGAUCUCCCGUAUAUACCGCGGGAAUCGCGCGCUCCAGACAUUUUAAAUACUAACUUUGCAUAAACACCACGACUGUUGCACAGAUAAUAAAAUAACAAGUUACUUAUACUGUGAUUAAAAAUUAAAUAUGAGGGCUCAGACUGUGAUUCUAUUGUUUUUUGUUUUAAGUAUGGUGAUUUGUGUUAGUGGUUUGGCGCUGAGGAAAGGGAACAUUGAUUAUUUGGAAGCCCUCCGACGCAUGCAGCAGAUACCUCAAUGGCACUGCAUGAGAUACCGCCGCUUCCAUCCUCACGGCCACUGCAGCAGGUGGUGGCAUACCAGGCGCACAUGAUUUGUUCUAACCGGUUCUUAGCCUAAUACUUAAUGCUUGUGUUAAUGCUAUAGGAAGUUUUAUGUUUUUCAUAUUCAUUUGAAAGAUAGACUUUGAUUAAUUGAGAUGUUUUAGAUUUAAAGAAAAAGAAAUGGUUGCAAUACUUAUAUUUAUAGGCUCUUGUUGAAUUUUAACAUUUAAAAGGUAACACUGUUUAUGGAGUAGGAGAUUGUAUGUAGUUUAAUAUUUAGAAUUUUGUUAAUUUUAUCUUGCCCUUUAUAACUUAAUUAAUUGUACUUUAAGAGAUAGUUACAUAGUAUAAAACCGAUAAAUAUUAUUCGCUGUGUUUAUAGAUAAAACAUGUAACUUUUCCAUUAUAUAAGACACGAAUUAUGUAAUAGUGUGAAUAGUUUUACAUUUAGAUGUGGUUUGAAAAUUAAUUAGGUAGGUAAAUCUAUUUAAAAUGUUAUUAUAUUCGAAUUUUUGUUGUUCUAAAACUUAGACAUGAAUUUUAUAAUAAAACAAUUUUAUUGACUAUA